GUGGUACCAGAGCGUCGCGGCGGGCUGGUCGAUCUGCCAGGUCGGCGACCAGGUCGUGCCGGGUUCGAUGCCCUGGUACGGCCC
rnacentral:tRNA from 1 species